GACGAACGCUGGCGGCGUGCUUAACACAUGCAAGUCGAACGAAGAGCGAUGGAAGCUUGCUUCUAUCAAUCUUAGUGGCGAACGGGUGAGUAACGCGUAAUCAACCUGCCCUUCAGAGGGGGACAACAGUUGGAAACGACUGCUAAUACCGCAUACGAUCUAAUCUCGGCAUCGAGGAUAGAUGAAAGGUGGCCUCUACAUGUAAGCUAUCACUGAAGGAGGGGAGUGCGUCUGAUUAGCUAGGUGGAGGGGGAACGGCCCACCAAGGCGAUGAUCAGUAGCCGGUCUGAGAGGAUGAACGGCCACAUUGGGACUGAGACACGGCCCAGACUCCUACGGGAGGCAGCAGUGGGGAAUCUUCCGCAAUGGACGAAAGUCUGACGGAGCAACGCCGCGUGAGUGAUGACGGCCUUCGGGUUGUAAAGCUCUGUUAAUCGGGACGAAAGGCCUUCUUGCGAAUAGUGAGAAGGAUUGACGGUACCGGAAUAGAAAGCCACGGCUAACUACGUG
rnacentral:rRNA from 1 species